GAAAAGUUGAGAUCGAUUCAUCAAGCCCAGAGUUUAGAAGAAAUUUCCAAUUGAUUUGAGUUUCUUUCACAGGUAGUUUUGUUUUGUUUAUUGUUUUUUGUUUUGUUUUGUUUUUUGAGACGGAGUCUCACUGUUACCAGGCUGGAGUACAGUGGCGUGAUCUAGGCUCACUGCAACCUCCUCCUCCAGGGUUCAAGUGAUUCUCCUGCCUCAGCCUCCCAAGUAGCUGGUACUACAGGUGGCACACACCACCACGCCCAGCUAAUUUUUGUAUUUUUAGUAGAGACGGAGUUUCACCAUGUUGGCCAGCCUGGUCUCGAUCUCUUGACCUCAUGAUCCACCUGCCUCAGCCUCCCAAAGUGCUGGAUUACAGGUGUGAGCCAUGCCACCCAGCCCAUAGGAGUUAGAGAUGGCCCCUCAACAAUCUCAGAAAAAGAGACAGUCCCCCUUGCAGGGGUUUCAGUAAAAGACGUUGGUUGAGUCAUUUGUUUGUCCCUGAAGCAACCAUUGAACAGGAAAGGAGAACAUACUAACCAGACCAGGGUCCUGUGCUCAGCCCUAGGAGGAAGGGAUGGAAGCUGCCAGCAAAUCACACUGAAGGAAAAUGGGGCGAGAAACUGGCAGGAAAAGAAAAUUGCUUACUGGUCAGAUACACCCUCGUGAAUACUCACAGAAGACAUUUGUCAAAAAUAAAAAGAUUCAUAAUU
rnacentral:lncRNA from 1 species